AUGCGGCCGCCUCGGCUCUUCCUCGCCUUGCUCGUGGUGCCGCUGCUGCUGCUGCUGCUGCGGCCGGGCGCGGCGUCCACGCUCUCCACGUUCGCCAUGGCCAAGGCCGAGGAGACGACCAUAGUGUGCGGGCUGCUGCCGUCCGCGGCGUCGCCGGCGCUGCUUGACCUCAACUGCACGGCGGCCGGCGGCGACCACCAGCGCCAGGAGACGUACCCCUCCACGCACCCCUUCUCCGCGCUGGCCGGCGGGGAGGACUUCCUCUGCGCCGUCGGCCCCUCCUCCGCGCGCGCCGACGCCGUCGACAUGCGCUGGUGGGACCUGUCCAGGCACGCCGGCAGGUCCAAGCGGGUCUACCUCGGCCCGCCGCUCCGGGCGCUCGCCUCCAGCGGCUACCGCGUCUGCGGGGUGCUCUCCAGCGGCGAGCUCCAUUGCUGGCGCUGGCGCGGGCUGGCCAUCCCCACCGGGCUCCGCUUCGUCGCCGUCGCCGUCGGGAAGGGCUUCGUGUGCGGCAUCGUCGCGGGCCCGCCCACGGCCACGCCUAUCAGGUGCUUCGGGAACAAGACGGAGGAUAUCGAGGCCGUCACCGCCGCGCCGCGGGGCGGGAGCUACGACGUGGUGGUCGCGUGCGGCCGGCACGCGUGCGCGCUCUCCACGGGCGGUGGGCUCUCGUGCUGGGGCAGCGGCGCGCCGUCGUUGGACGGUGAGAACGCCACCGCCGGAUACGCUGCGCUCGCGCUGGGGGAGAGCGGCGUCUGCGGGCUGCGGACCAACGGUACCAUCCGCUGCUUCGGCGACGGCGUCGCUGCGCCGCCGGAGCCCCUCGCCGGUCUGCAGUACAAUGACGUCCAGGCGCAGGGCUGCGCGUUCUGCGGCGUCCUCAUGGCGAACUACUCCCUGGUGUGCUGGGGCGGCCACGAGUUCAACGCCACCAACCGCCUCGUCUUCGACCGCAUCCUGCCGGGCCCGUGCGUGCCCAUGUCCUCGUGCCAAUGCGGCGUCCUGCCGGGCUCGGCCAACCUCUGCGCCGCCGGCCGGUGCAUCUGCGUGGACUGCGCUUUCGAGCUCAACGUCGCCGUCCCCAAGGCAGCGAACCCUGGAAAGGCCGGCAGCGGCAGGAGGAGAAAGAUCAUUAUUUGGGCUGCCGUCGCGGCGGCUGCGUUGCUUGUGCUCGUGGUGGCAUUGCAGUUCGCGCUGCUCCUAUGGUGCCGCCGCCGUCGUCGCCGCAACAACAGCCAGGAUGAGCUUGCCGCGAUGCAGUCCCUGAUGCCGCCACGGCUUGGGUCCAGCAGGAGCAAGGGGCCCGGCAGCGUGGUGGAGCAUUUCACGCUGGACACCCUACGCGCGGCGACGGAGGGGUUCGACGACAGCCGCCGGAUCGGGUCCGGGAGCUUCGGGUCGGUGUACCGCGGCACGCUCCCGGACGGGCGGGAGGUGGCGAUCAAACGGGCCGAGGAUCACGCCAAGUCGUCGAGCUCGGCGGCGCGGCCGGCGCGGCGGCGCGACCGCGAGACAGCCUUCAACUCGGAGCUGAUUGCUCUGGCGCGCGCCAACCACAAGAACAUCGUGUGCCUGCUGGGGUGCUGCGCCGAGUCCGGCGAGCGCGUGCUGGUGUACGAGUUCAUGAUGAACGGCACCCUCCACGACCAGCUCCACGACCGCAGCCCCAUGGCGGCGCCGGUGCUGUCGUGGCGCGGCCGGCUGACCAUCGCGCUGGGCGCCGCGCGCGGCAUCGAGUACAUGCACGUCUACGCCGUGCCGCCCAUCAUCCACCGCGACAUCAAGUCCGCCAACAUCCUCAUGGACGACUCGUGGACGGCCAAGAUCGCCGACUUCGGGCUGUCCUCCGUCCUGGACCCCGCCGGCGACUGCGAGGACAACCCGCAGCAGCAGGAGCAGCCGCAGCAGCAGCGGACGAUCUACACCGGCGGCACGGUGGGGUACAUGGACCCGGAGUACUACCGGCUGCAGCACCUGACGGACAAGAGCGACGUGUACAGCUUCGGCGUGGUGCUCCUGGAGCUCAUGUCCGGCUGCCGCGUCGUGCAGCGGUACGCCGAGAGCGUGACGCCCAAGAACGUGGUGGACUUCACGGUGCCGCACAUCCUCGCCGACGACGUGGCGCGCGUGCUCGACCCGCGCCUCCCCACGCCGACGCCGCACGAGGCCGAGGCGCUAGCCUACGUCGGCUACCUCGCCGCCGACUGCGUGGGCCCCGUCGGCUGCGAGCGCCCGUCCAUGACCGAGGUGGUGGACGCCCUGGAGCGCGCGCUCGCGGCCUGCUCGACGGCGCCGGUCUCCCGCUCCGGGACCGCCCGCCGCGUGCUGUCCCGCUCCGGCACGGACCAGUUUGACCUCACUGACACCGACUAG
rnacentral:rRNA from 1 species